GGCCACGUGGCGGAGUGGUUACGCAGCGGAUUGCAAAUCCGUGCACGGGGGUUCGAUUCCCUCCGUGGCCUCCA
rnacentral:tRNA from 2 species